rfam:Ornithorhynchus anatinus chromosome 4, whole genome shotgun sequence.
CCCCUCUCAGGGUCGUACCUGGAGAGUUUCCAGUACUCUAUCAGUCUUGACUACAGGAGGGAGAGUCAAGCAAAGGCAUACCUAUUCUAUUUCUAGCUUGGUCAGUGGCUAGCGAGUGGAAGGCAAUCUGCUACAAGU